CAGCCGCCUCCCCCGGACGCCAGGGCGUGUGCGGGGCUCGCGGGCUCCUGCGCUCCGGGGCUGUGCUUUUCUGUACCGCGAGUGUUCUGGUUGUGAAUUCAUCCAGGGUCCAGGAUGACGAUCCGACACCAAGGCCAGCAGUACAGGCCGAGGAUGGCAUUUCUCCAGAAGGCUGCCUCUUGGUCCUGAAGAAUCGGCAUUGCUUGGGCAGAAUGUCGGAGGGUGAAGAGCCUGGUACCCGGUGCAGAGGUGCACGGGCUGCAGUUAGCUGGGUCCACUCCAGCUCUGAGCCACGUAAGGUAAGGAAACUGAGGCUAGUGAGGGCCAACCCUGGAAGAACUGUGGGUGUGAUACGGCGAAGCUGGGCCCACCACAAUGGUGGAAACAUAGAGGACAGCAUGCAGUGGGAAGGAGCUUCCAUUUCUACGCUUCUGCAUGAGGAGGAGGGAAGGGACCUGGAGGAGAGCCUUGAAGCUGAGAUUGAAGGAUGCUGGGCUUCUGCCGGGUGAGGAAAGGUGGAAGGAGGACCCAGGCCAUGGAGGGGCGUGUGCCAGAGGGGUGUGCAGGUCUGGUGCGUCUGAGGCAAGCCGUUCGCUGUUGCUGAGCUUAUUAUAUAAGAGGAGUGUGCGGCCGGACAGGCAGGCAAACUGCCUUCAAAGGUCAUCUGAUUUUUCCCCAAAGAAGCCACUGAGGAAUUUCGAGCAGGUGACACCACCACCAGGAAACCAACAAGCAGAGGAGUUAGCUCAGAUCCAUCUCCUGGAAGAAGUACCAACUCAAAGAGUGGCAGAGUGGCUACACAAGAAGACUGGACACAAAGGACAAAGGACCUAUGGGCUAUUGCUAAGGCCUGGGGCCUCCCCCUGCGCUGUGCUGACGUGGUG
rnacentral:lncRNA from 1 species